rnacentral:rRNA from 1 species
GACGAACGCUGGCGGCGUGCCUAAUACAUGCAAGUCGAACGCAGUGGGGACGGGUGAGUAACACGUGGGUAACCUCCCAUCAGAGGGGAUAACACUUGGAAAAAGGUGCUAAACCGAUAUUGAUUGAUGGACUCGCGGUGCAUUAGCUAGUUGGUGAGGUAACGUCUCACCAAGUCCACGAUGCAUAGCCGGCCUGAGAGGGUGAUCAGCCACACUGGAACUGAGACACGGCCCAGACUCCUACGGGAGGCAGCAGUGGGGAAUCUUCGGCAAUGGGCGAAAGUCUGACCCAGCAACGCCGCGUGUAUGAAGAAGGUUUUCGGUUCGUAAAGCUCUGUUGUUAGAGAAGCGGUAUCUACCCAAAAAGCCACGGCUAACUACGUGCCAGCAGCCGCGGUAAUAC